rnacentral:misc_RNA from 1 species
GAAAUGCGAUAAGUAAUGUGAUUUGCAGAAUUCAGUGAAUCAUCGAAUCUUUGAACGCACCUUGCGCUCCUUGGUAUUCCUUGGAGCAUGCCUGUUUGAGUAUCAUGAAAUCUUCAAAGUAAAUCUUUUGUUAACUCAAUUGGUUUCUACUUUGGUAUUGGAGGUCUUUGCAGCUUCACACCUGCUCCUCUUUGUUCAUUAGCUGGAUCUCAGUGUUAUGCUUGGUUCCACUCGGCGUGAUAAGUUAUCUAUCGCUGAGGACACUGUAAAAGGUGGCCAAGGUAAAUGCAGAUGAACCGCUUCUAACAGUCCAUUGACUUGGACAAUACUUUUAUGAUCUGAUCUCAAAUCAGGUAGGACUACCCGCUGAACUUAAGC